GUAACGGAGUUUCUGGCAUGUCUGACCUUCUCCAGGGUGAAAGAGCAGCCCUUGAGCACAGAGAUGCAGGAACUGAGAUGCACAGAUUACUUCAGGUGACUACAGUGUGAUAUGAAGAACUGGGCACUAAGAACCCAGAAAAGGAAAAUACUCAAAAGAUCUACAAGGAACCUCUGAGUAGUUGCUCAGUGUUUUCAGAAAGAUGCUAUGAUUGCUCAUGGAAUAUGGAAAAGGACAGGACAUCAACAGCAAGCGAUGUAUCACUCAGGCGUCAAUUGAAACAGUAAAGCAAAUCACCAGUUGCAGAGAAGUAGUAAAAGGGAGAAAAUGUCUAACAUAUAAACAAGUAUGCACAGAACAAGCUUGCCACUGCAUGUACCCAGUAUUCUGAAGACUGCAAUAGGUGAGUCAAGCUCCAGUAGCUGCAGAACACAACUGAAAGUCAUUUGGAGAAGAAAAAUGUAGAAGCAGGAGAGUUACAACUUGCCUCUAAAUCAAAGCCAUGAGAACUCUUUUCUAGAUACUGUUGAUAUAAUAAAUAUUUCCUUGCUUUUGAUCUGCCACUUCUCCUUUGAACCUUUCCAGCUCCUAAUAUAAUUUACUUAAAGUAGGAAAACCUUCUCUUUCUUACAUUCUUCAUAUUGUUCCACACCAUCAGUCCUCUUUCAUGCUACCAACUAUUCUGGUAGCCCAUCACUGAUUUACUGAGGAAUAAAUGUGCAUGUCCUGUGCUCAGGAUUAAAAAUUAGCAGGCAUCCACAGUUUCACCAACAGAUGAACAAAAUGCAAAGGAUUAUAUUUUUU